GCCAAUGGGCGAAGCCUGAUGCAGCGACGCCGCGUGGGUGAUGAAGGUUUUCGGAUCGUAAAACCCUUUUCUGUGUGACGAGGAAGGACGGUAGCACAGGAAUAAGUGUCGGCUAACUACGUGCCAGCAGCCGCGGUAAUACGUAGGACGCAAGCGUUAUCCGGAAUUACUGGGCGUAAAGAGCGUGUAGGCGGUUGUCCAAGUCACCCGUGAAAGCUCCCGGCUAAACUGGGAGAGGUCGGGUGAGACUGGAUGGCUAGAGGGUUGUAGAGGGGUGUGGAAUUCCGGGUGUAGUGGUGAAAUGCGUAGAGAUCCGGAGGAACACCAGAGGCGAAGGCGGCACCCUGGACAACACCUGACGCUGAGACGCGAAAGCGCGGGGAGCAAACGGGAUUAGAGACCCCGGUAGUCCGCGCCGUAAACGAUGUGCGCUAGAUGUUCGUCUUCCUACGGGGGGAUGAGCGUCGAAGCCAACGCGAUAAGCGCACCGCCUGAGGAGU
rnacentral:rRNA from 1 species